GCAAAGCUAUUACUGAAGUACAUAUCAUAAUAUACUGACCUUUCUCUUGAAAUAAUCAGACCAUAGUUCAGAUCCUUGACUCCUGUAGUUUGAUCGUAGAUCUCCACAUUUAACCAGGAACAGAGAUUAGUGUGACUUUUUCACCAUGACUUGUUGGUUGUAAUCAGGUUGCACUUAUUACUCCUGGUCAAUCAGAAUUAUUACCUCCCAGGACCUACAGAAACAUUAAGGGAAAAGCCAGGCGUGGUGGCGCAUGCUUCUAAUCCCAGCACUUAGGAGGCUGAGGCAGGAGGAUUGCUGUGAGUUCGAGAC
rnacentral:lncRNA from 1 species